CCGCGUCUCAUUAGCUAGUUGGUAGGGUAAUGGCCUACCAAGGCAACGAUGAGUAGCUGGUCUGAGAGGAUGAUCAGCCACACUGGAACUGAAACACGGUCCAGACUCCUACGGGAGGCAGCAGUGGGGAAUAUUGCGCAAUGGGCGAAAGCCUGACGCAGCAACGCCGUGUGAGGGAUGAAGGCUUUCGGGUCGUAAACCUCUGUCGGAAGGGAAGAACGGGCAUUGGUCUAAUAGGCCUUUGUUUUGACGGUACCUUUAGAGGAAGCACCGGCUAACUCCGUGCCAGCAGCCGCGGUAAUACGGAGGGUGCAAGCGUUAUUCGGAAUUACUGGGCGUAAAGCGCACGUAGGCGGCCUUGUAAGUCAGGGGUGAAAUCCCACGGCUCAACCGUGGAACUGCCUUUGAAACUGCAGGGCUUGAAUCCUGGAGAGGGUGGCGGAAUUCCUGGUGUAGGAGUGAAAUCCGUAGAUAUCAGGAGGAACACCGGUGGCGAAGGCGGCCACCUGGACAGGCAUUGACGCUGAGGUGCGAAAGUGUGGGGAGCAAACAGGAUUAGAUACCCUGGUAGUCCACACCGUAAACGAUGAACACUAGAUG
rnacentral:rRNA from 1 species